CAGCCGCCGCGGGAAUACGGGGGGUGCAAGCGUUAUUCGGAAUUACUGGGCGUAAAGCGCACGCAGGCGGUUGCCCAAGUCAGAUGUGAAAGCCCCGGGCUUAACCUGGGAACUGCAUUUGAAACUGGGCGACUAGAGUAUGAAAGAGGAAAGCGGAAUUUCCAGUGUAGCAGUGAAAUGCGUAGAUAUUGGAAGGAACACCGAUGGCGAAGGCAGCUUUCUGGGUCGAUACUGACGCUCAUGUGCGAAAGCGUGGGGAGCAAACAGGAUUAGAUACCCCCGUAGUCCCUGUCUCUUAUAC
rnacentral:rRNA from 1 species